rnacentral:sRNA from 1 species
GAAGAGAAAAGGUUUACGGUGACCAUUGGCGAAGAUGAACGGGAAUUUGACAAAGAAAAUGAAGUUUUUCGAGAUUGGAAUUCUCGGAUCCCGAGAGAUGUCAGAGACACAGUACUCGAGCCUUACGCGGACCCUUAUUAUGACUAUGAAAUUGAGCGGUUUUGGCGUGGCGGACAGUAUGAGAAUUUCAGGGUGCAGUAUACAGAAACAGAGUCGUAUCAUAAUUACCGAGUAAGUAUGACUUCAGUAUCCACAUAUGAACUUCAUGAUCUGUUCAUUCAAGUUAUCCCUUUUUAUUUAUAGUAAAAAAUAUAGGGCUUUAUAUGAGCUUAUAGAGUCAGCACAAUGUACCAAUUUCAAAACCAAAUUGAUUGUUAUGGAGAACUAAUUUAGAGCCAGCAAUUAAAUUAAUGGUCAUUUGAACAAAGACUUGCCUGAAAACUG